rnacentral:lncRNA from 1 species
CUCUCCAUUUCUCUCACAUUCUACAAUAUUUCAAAUUCUUUUAUUUUUCCCUCAAAUUAUACAAUAUUGUUGGAGGUGCAAAACAAGCAUUGGUGGCUCCAAGAGUUCAAAUUUGCUAGGAAUUUCUGCAUCGGUUCUCUAAUUGAGUAACAUACUUCACCCCUACUACUUUAUUUUUUUGUUACAUUUUUUUUAUAUUUAUUACUUUAUUAUUUUUGGCAUAAUAUUUUAUCAAUAAUUAUAAUAUGACAAGUGCUUCUUCAUCUAGUCCAUGUGAUGAAAUAUCAUCAAACAAAAAAUUUACUUCAAAUAUAUGGAAUUUUUUUGAUAGAAUAGAAAUAAUUUUAGAAAAUAAUAAAAAAAAAAUAAAAGCAAAAUGUAAAAUUUGUAAUAAAUUUCUUACUGGUGGCUCAAAUGCAGGCACAAGUCAUUUAAAAAGACAUCAUGAAAAUUGUAAAACUAAAAAUAAUGUAGAUAUUAGAAAUUAUAUGCAAUUAGGUAAAAAUGAAAGUGGAAAUUUAAAAACAUUUUCUUAUGAUGAAUCUAACUGUCGUGAAGAAAUGGUUGAUUAUAUAAUAAGAGCAGAACAACCUUUCAACAUGAUAGAAACUCAUGAUUUUGCAGGAACAAUUCAACGAGGUAUUAAUCCUCAAUUUAAAGGUUGGUCUGGAAAUACAGUUAAAAGAGAUAUUAUGAAAAAAUUUUAUACACAAAAAGAAAUUUUAAAAUUUUUUUUUGCAAAUUUUGAAGGAAAUAUUUGUUUAACAUCUGAUAUUUGGACAUCUUUAACUCACACUGGUUUUUUAUGUAUAACUGCUCACUACAUUGAUAAUGAAUGGAAAUUAAAUAAAAGAAUAAUUUCAUUUAAAUUAAUAAAUGCUAUACAUAGUGGUAAAAAUAUAGCAUCUUUAAUAAAUAAUAAAUUAUAGAUUUAGGCAUUUGUGAUAAAAUAUUGACAAUAACAUUAGAUAAUGCUGCUAAUAAUGAUGCAGCAAUACAUAGACUAAAAUGAUAUUGGCAAGUAAAAGAAGAUCAUGCUAAAAUAUUUCAUGUGCGUUGUUGUGCACAUAUUUUAAAUUUAAUUGUGAAGGAUGAAUUAAAAAAUGUUGAUAGUACAUUGGAAAAAUUUAGAGGCAUUGCAUAUAGUAUUAAUAGUUCUCAAGCAAAACAUGAAUUAUUUUUUGAUUGUUGCAAAAUGUUAAAUAUGAAAAGAAAAAAUAUAAAUUUGGAUAUGGCCAUUAGAUGGAAUUCCACAUAUAAACUUUUACAAAAUAUUACAAAAUAUAAAAAAGUAGUCGAAUUAUAUGAAAUACAAUUAAUUAACAAUGAUUGUGAAGCAGAUAUUUAUGCAUUAAAUGAUUAUGAUUGGCAUAUUGCGGAUCUUUUAAGAGAUCUUUUUGAAAUUUUUGAUACUUCAACAAACAUUUUUUGUGGUGUAUAUUAUCCAACUUCAAAUCGAGUUAUUAUGCAAAUAACUAAUAUUUUUAUUGUACUUCAAAAAUAUUUAAGUUUUGAAAUGUUUAAUGAUACAAUAUUUGCAAUGAUAGAAAAAUUUAGAAAAUAUUGGGGAGAAAUACCUUUAAUUUUUUAUAUUGCUUUAAUUGUGGACCCUAGAUUGAAAUUUGAAGCUUUGGAUGAAUGGUUAACAAUUAUUUAUUUUAAUGACCAAAUAAAAAUUGAAGAAAUUAAAAAUGAAAUAAAUUCAUUAUUAUAUAAUUUAUAUAACUAUUAUAAAGAAAAAUAUGGUAAUGAUACUAAUACUAUUAAAUUACCACAUACAUCUACAAACUCCUCAUCUUUUUAUAAAGGAGCUCUAGAAAUGUUGAAAAGUCAAAAAAAGACAACAAAUAGUUCUCCAAAUAAUACAUUUGAUUUAGAUAAAUAUCUUAAUACUGAUAUAAUUUCAUUUGAAGAUCAAGAAGAUUUUGAUAUUUUAAUAUGGUGGAAAUCACAUCAACACAAAUAUCCUGUGCUUUCUAUAAUUGCUCGUGAUGUACUAACAGUUCCUGUGAGUACAGUUGCAUCAGAAGCUGCUUUUAGUGCAGGUGGAAGAGUAGUUAGUAAAAAACGAUGCAACUUAGCGCCAGAUGUUAUUGAAGCAGGGAUAUGUGUGAAAUAUUGGAAAAUAGCAGAUAAAAAGAUGUAUGAUUCAAUUCGAGAAACAGAGAUGCUUGCCGAUAUGGAAUCUUUAAAAUUAUCAAGAUCUUCAUGGAUGCAUGAUAGUUCGCCAUCAUCGCCAGAAAAUAAUGACUAAAUGUAUAUUAUAUUUUUAUUUUUAUUUUUUGUGGUUGAAAAAUACAGAUGAUUGACAAAUAAAU